AAGGCUUAUCCAAGGAGGCUUAGGGUUGUCCACACAUAGAAAUUGAGAGAAAAGAAGAGUGCUGUGAAAGAUUUUGAGAUUGCUUUUGAUUUCUGGUUUUGGAUUUCUUCUUCUGUUAAUUCCCCCCUCUAUUAAUCCCCGCUUCUCUGAAUCCCUUUCUGUUAAUCAUCUGUCUUUCAGGUUCUAUUUUUUGGGUUUGUUUUUCAGAAAAUUUUAUAAACAAAUGAGUAGAAAGCAAACUUAAGAAGGGUUUCUCGAAGGCCAGGUGUUUUCAGAAUCGAGAUCCAGGCUUUUUCAUUUUAAUUUCCCGAAGUUUUUUUCGUUGUUUUCUUUUUAUUUUUCAUAGCUGAAUCAGCUUGGAGGGUUAUUUUUUGGUCCCUCAAGGUUGGUUUUUUAGGCCUUUGAAUCGAAAAGGGGUUGUAUAUUUCUAAACCUCUUUGAUCUUUUCUUUCUAAUCUUUCUUUCUAAAGGAACCAGCUAUUCUUUAAUUUGCUUAAGAAGCAGGUGGUGCUUUUUAUUUAAAUCUUGAUUUUUAAGAAUUUUAGUUGAGAAAUUUAGCUUGAGAAGGCAUGGCAGCUACAAUGGAUUUCUACAGUAGCAGACAUCUUCAAUCAGACCCCUUUGGGGGUGAGCUAAUGCAAGCACUUGAGCCUUUUAUGAGAAGUGCUUCCUCUUCAACUACCCCUUCUCCUUCUCCUUCUUCUACUCCUUCUAUUUCCUCUU
rnacentral:misc_RNA from 1 species